AGAUCAUAUCUAACGAAAUUCUUAGAGAUAAAUAAAAUUAAAUAAAGGGUAAUUACUCGAUAAUAUUUUAGAACGAUAUGUUCAAGCUUGAAUAUAGUGAAACUAUUGUACGUUAGAUUUGUAAUGCGACACAGUAAAUCUUAAUUAAAAAAUAAUGAACGUAAAGCGUCAUAAAUGCUCAGUCAUUUCGAUUACGUGUAUCUGAAUGGGAAUUAUAAGAUGUGCUUCUUACUUUAUCCUCGAAUUGAUUGAUUCGCGAGAUACAGGCAUUCCGUUUCAACUAUCGAUACAAAAUUAUACGUAAAGAGAGAUCGAUUUGUCCGAUGAAAGACAUUGUUUAUGCACGAUGAAGCACUUAAUCGUAGAGUUACGCGUAGUUCUAAACAUAGAUGUUCGCUGUUGAGAAUCGCACCAAGUUUCAAGGUCAUGGGUAGCUUUCGCGAAAGGAACGAUACACAUAGAUAUCAUGUUUAAGUGGAAACUUUAUUUCAUAAACCCAUGGUUAACCAUAUAUCGCGAACGCGGAACGCACCACGUACCUAGACGAACAAAUGCAAACUAUCUAUAGAUAACAUGGUCAAGUAAUAAUUGCGCCGGUAGUAGCAAGCUUUUCAUUUCGAUUUAAAAACGUGUUACGUAUAUGUAUUAAUUGUGAGCUUGUGAGUUAAAAGUGACAUAACAGUAUGCUUUAAAAUGUUAUUACAGCAAUGUAAAUAAAUCAAUUUACAAUGGAA
rnacentral:lncRNA from 1 species